AGUGAACGCUGGCGGUAGGCCUAACACAUGCAAGUCGAACGGCAGCACAGUAAGAGCUUGCUCUUACGGGUGGCGAGUGGCGGACGGGCGAGGAAUACAUCGGAAUCUACUUUUUCGUGGGGGAUAACGUAGGGAAACUUACGCUAAUACCGCAUACGACCUACGGGUGAAAGCAGGGGAUCUUCGGACCUUGCGCGAUUGAAUGAGCCGAUGUCGGAUUAGCUAGUUGGCGGGGUAAAGGCCACCAAGGCGACGAUCCGUAGCUGGUCUGAGAGGAUGAUCAGCCACACUGGAACUGAGACACGGUCCAGACUCCUACGGGAGGCAGCAGUGGGGAAUAUUGGACAAUGGGCGCAAGCCUGAUCCAGCCAUACCGCGUGGGUGAAGAAGGCCUUCGGGUUGUAAAGCCCUUUUGUUGGGAAAGAAAAGCAGCAGGUUAAUACCCCGCUGUUCUGACGGUACCCAAAGAAUAAGCACCGGCUAACUUCGUG
rnacentral:rRNA from 1 species